rnacentral:rRNA from 1 species
GACGAACGCUGGCGGCGUGCUUAACACAUGCAAGUCGAACGGAAAGGCCCGGCUUUUGUGGGGUGCUCGAGGGGCGAACGGGGGAGUAACACGUGAGUAACGUGCCCUUGACUGUGGGGUAAGUUCAGGACACUGGGGCUAAUACCGGAAAGGAGCUCUUGCUGCAUGGUGGGGGUGGGAAAGUUUCGGCGGUUGGGGGUGGACUCGCGGCUUAUGAGCUUGUUGGUGGGGUAGUGGCUGACCAAGGCUAUGACGGGUAGCCGGACUGAGAGGGUGACCGGCCACAGUGGGACUGAGAUACGGCCCAGACUCCUACGGGAGGGAGCGGUGGGGAAGAGUGCACAAUGGGCGGGAGCCUGAUGCAGCAACGCCGCGUGCGGGAUGAUGGCCUUCGGGUUGUAAUCCGCAUUCGCCUGACCCGAAGCGUGAAUGACGGUACCGGGUGAAGAAGCACCGGCUAACUACGUG